ACCAACUGUACCAACUGUAACAAUCACUGUGUGCGCGCGCGCGCGUGCGCGUUAGCGUGUCGCUGGGCCACAGGGAAGAACGCGGCUGGUUUCACCCCUGGAAAAAAGAGAAGAAAAAGAAGCCCAGCUCAUCCCUCCAAUAGGAGCUCCUGUUAUCGGCAUCUUAAAGAGGCAGCUCCUCUCUCUCUCUCUCCGUCACGAGCUGUGUCAGAACUUGUGUAACCUCCAUCUCAACUUGGCAGAGUGAAGAGCGGCACCCGUUGCCAGCUCGGUCACAUAGGUGGAGUUAUUAUAAAAAGAUCUUCUCGAUGGGAACAGCCCACUUCUUGCACCUGGAGAAGAGGGAAGAUGGAUGAGUUAAAGGGCCAAAUAUGACUGAGCAGCAUCCAUAAGCAUCAUUCACAUAUGGGAAAUUCCACGAGGACGACCAGACAGUGAGUCAGAUGUCAUAUCUAAAAACUAUUCCGCUCAUGUGCGCUGCACCAAUGUUGUCCGGACUCGAUUUGUGAAAGUUGCUUGUUGUCAAUAUUCAUCCGCCAUGUAUUACAGCUGUAUAAUAUCUUCUAUAAUCCCAAGUGUUAAGAUGAACUUGAGGUAAACAUUUAAUUCACUAAUAUGACAUGGCCCUGGCGUUGACUUUUUUCUAACAACAUACAUUUUGACUCGCCCAAGCAGGAAAAGCACAGGUCAAACAGCUUUCAUCAUCGAUGGCUCACUUCUGUUGCCGAGUGUCGCCGUUACAGUGAGCCAGCUUGCUCCCCUAAAUGGAAUGCACUCCUUAUUUAAGUUAUUGAUUACAACUGUGCCUUUCCUGUUAUGACAUGCCACAAUGUCUGCUGGGAGGAAAGUCUAUUGUGUUGCACUGCGACGGCUUUCUGGCAUACUUGGAUAGAACACAGCCAUCGUUGAUGUUAUUAGAUAAAAACCUGAGACAUCAUAGCUGUAUUCUAGGAUUAUGCACCAUGUCAUAGACUUAAAACGGAGAAAUUAAUCUAGAUUGCAAUAAAUCCGGUGUGAUCAUUUAAAAAAUUUUAAGACAAGGCCUGGGCUACAAAUUUGGAUUGAGUCUGGAAUGAAGCUGACAAACAAUAAAAUCCUUACAAUCACACUAA